CCUUGAGGAAGCGGUGCGGACAAGAAGCUGCGGGAUCUCUUCGGUCCCCCAGGACCUCCAGGUGCAGAAGUGACCCCGGAGACUGCUUCACAAGUUUCAGGAGCUGCUGAAAGGUCAGCCGCCCUGCACUGCCCAGAGUCCAGACGUGCCUGGGCCCCGGGCUGACCCUGCUGGCCGCCUGUGCCCUCCUCCCCACAGGGGCCAUGGAGCACCGGUUCUCAGGGCUUGUGGACCCGCUGCUGCCCCAGGGGGUGGGCCUGUGGCUGGUGGGCGAGGCCUUUCACUGCCGGCUGCAGGGCCCCCGCCAGGUGGACAAGCGGACGCUGGUGGAGCUGCAUGGUUUCCAGGCGCCUGCUGCCCAAGGUGCCUUCCUCCGAGGCUCCGGUCUGCGCCUGGCCUCGGGUCGGUUCACGGCCCCCGUGUCCGGCAUCUUCAGUUCUCUGCCAGUCUGCACGUGGGUGAGCCGGAUGGGGCUGUGCCGUGUGCUGUGACGGGGCUGGGGCUGAGUUUUCUGGGGGCGCCUGGCAUCGCCGGCCCCGGGUGCGGGUCCCGUUAGAGAUCUGCCCCCUGCCCCAUGGGGGGCCUUGGACUAGGCAUGGGGUCCCUGCUGCACGCCUGGCCUCAGGCGCCCCCUCC
rnacentral:sRNA from 1 species